CACACACACACACACACACACACACACACACACACACACACGAGGCCACCAGGAUAAGGGAGGAGCUGAAGCCACUAGCUCAGGAAUGUUCAGCUGAGGAGAGGAGGGGCUGGGAUUCCUGUGAACUUGAAGCCAGUGUUCAGGUCCUUGAAGCAGCCGAUCUUUCCUGUCUCAUCAUCAUGUGGCCAAUGGGACUCAGCAGAUCUGUGUCACAGCCAGAGAGACACAGAGGGACUUGUACUUGGACCUUUCCUCUCAUUGGACAGGGAACUUUCUGAUGCCAGGGAAGAGAUGAGGUCAUCGGUGGAUUCAGGAUGGAGCUUAGCAUGGGUGCAUGGAUGUGGGAAGCAAACCUCAGAACAUCAGGGAGGAAAGGAGAAGGGACCCAGGAGGGAGACAGCUGUGGCUGCUGUGGCCUUUAGGACUGUCUCACAGCAGACUGGCUUGGCCUUGUCUCUCAUUUGUUAGAUCUGUUACUGAAUGGGGGGAACUCAGGUAGGGUUAUGUGCACCUUCAACCGGCUAAGACCCCUGUCCAUUCCUAAAAGUCCCGAUGGCCAUCUUUCCAACAUGGGAAUGCACUGUCCCUUCUUCUGAGGGGUUCCAGGUGGCCAGUCAUGGUGCCCACCCUGAGGGCUCAUUUGCAUCUGCUUCCAAGUAGCAGUGCGGGCUCAUGACAUGAUCAUGUGUUUUCUGUUACAGACCGAAGUUCCUGUGCCACAAUAACAGGUGAACGAGAAUGGGGCAUUCAUCUCCUGGGAGCACAGCAGCAUCUGCCCAGAAGGGUCCGGAGUCAGGGGAUGUGCAGGCUUUGACAAGAGAGGGCAGGAUGCUGCCCAAGGCCCCAGGGAGGGAGUGUCCAAGCUGGGAUCAGACUCCAGGCUUCUGACCCCGGCCCACCCACCCUUCCAUCCUGUCCCAUCACAGACAGCCUUCCUCACGGCCUGCUUCAUCUGCCUUAUCCUCUACCAGUGUCCUCUGUGGGACAAGAGAUUCAGAAGGGGAGGGAGAACUCAAGCUUGACUUCUGUCUGUAUAUGUAAUGGGAAUAUCUGUCCAGUGUCUGAUCAAUGACAAUAAACCACAGCAGAUGCCAUGAGGGUGUGUGAGACGAGCCAGGGAAGUACAGCUCUCUCUCUCUCUCUCUCUCUCUCUCUCUCUCUCUCUCUCUCUCUCCCCAUGGUUCAGUUAGAUGCAUUUGUUGAGCACAUACUACAUGGUCCAGGGGUCCAGGCACUGAGCACUCAUCAGUGGACAGAGCAGAACCAAUCCACGACAGCGAUGAUGCCACAUGGUUUGGGAUCCUUCCAGGUUUCUUACAUGUAAAUUCAAGACAGCGUCCUUGGUUCCUUCUGUCCAUGUCCCCAAGACAAGACAAGACCUGCCCCAUCUACUCAGAAACUGCUCUGCAGCUGCACAUGGCUACGGGGACCUGGGAGUGUGAGCAGUACACUUGAAGAUGCAAGGUGGUUGCAGCAUGCAGGCUGGGGUUUGAAGAGGUGCAUGACAAAAAUGAGCUGAAUUUGCAACAUUGGUGGUAACAAAAACAGACACAUAGUUGUCUAUGGUGACAAUGAAUUUUUGAUGCACUGAAUUAAAUCACAAUGGAUGUCUGCUUCCUUUUUCUCUUUCUGAGACAAGACCUCAUUAUGUGGCGUAGUCUGACCUGGAACUCAUAGGCAUCCUCCUGCCUGAGUCUCCCAAGCUGUGGAAUCACACACACACACACACACACACACACACACACACACACAGACACAGACACACAGACACACACACACCCUCCACACAGAGACCUAAUGGUUCCAUAGGUCAUUGUUGUGAACCAGUGGCUUGUUUGUCAGAUCCAAAGACAACCAUGUGACCUCAACUCUUGUACCCUGCUUUCUUAAGAGUUCAGGGCAUUGCACAGGGCACCUGCUCCCAAAGCCUGCUCCUGUCCCCAGUGCCCACUCUCUUAAUAACUGUGUGUGUGUGUGUGUGUGUGUGUGUGUGUGUGUGUGUGUCCUUCCAGCUCUUGUUCAUUCAGUUCUUGCUCUAAUAGCCCUGAGAACCAGGAGCCCCAGUGUCCCGGAGUGUGAGAAGAUGCAUGUCCCCUAGACCUCAGAACAAAUCACACUCUGCAUUGUGCUCUAGCUGAGCCCCUGGUGACCCAGAUGAUGCUGUCUGCUAUUUCAGUCUUGCCUUUUCUGAAACACCCCCAGAUACACAGAGAAGGUUUUUAACAAUCUAAUGCCCAGGGGUCCCUCAUAUAUCCUGUCAACCUGAGGGGAACCAUCACGUACCUUACACUAUAAAGCAAGUCUACACGUGAUAUAUAAUGGUCACAACCCCUGUCUCUAUGAUGGAAUGACCCUUCCCAAUGAUAAGGACCACGGAGGCUAACAGCAGGCAACAGGAAUGAGUGUUGAGUUGUCAUUGGGAGGAGCCAUAGGGUGGCUGGGUUAGAUUUCCAUGACAACAGGAUGACUGAAGAUUAUCUCUCAGAUGGAGUAAGAUGACUACAUCUGACACUUUCAUAUCACCGUGACAGCCAUGCAGAGCAAUAUCAUACUGGCUCCAGACUGGACCUGCCCAAGAGCCCUUUGGCCCUAAGCACGGUGCUCAUCCAUAUUCUGCGGGUGCCAUCAUGGUUCUGACUUAGCAUUCACCCUGGCCAGGGGAAUGGCAAGGCUUGAUGGCAGACACUUUGGGUUGUCAAACCCAUUCUUCAACUUUAAUCUUCUGACUAAGCCUGCUGUCAGAGCUCCUCCCCAUCUGUGGUGUUCCCUCUGGAGUCACAUGGCCUGAACGAUGUUUGAGAAGACCAGCUAUCAGAAUGGCUAAGUGGCUUCUGACCAGGUUACCAAGAACACAUAACGGGGAAGAAGCACUCUUCUGCAGAGGGAAUUGGGAAAGCUGGAUCUCCAUUGAUAGGAAUAAAUUCCACUCUCACCUUGGCCAUCCAAAACGGAAGCAGAGAAUCCCUAGAAAACACAGAAUAUCUUAGCCAUGAUGAUCUUGGCUGUUUUCUUGGCUCUGACAUCAAACCCACAGACAACUCAGGAUGAUUCUUUUAUGUCAGGCCUCAUGCAUGCGGGGUAAGCACUCUGCCACUGAGCCACACCCAUGGUCUCUCACUGGAACACUCUAGACAAGUCCUUCCCAGCUAAGCCACACCCUUGUUGCCUUUCUUCUCUCACACAAGGAAGCCAUUCCUUCAUGGAGACAUGUCUCCUGUGGACUUGCUUUAGUGUAGAAUGCAAGAUGCGUGAUAACAUGGUUGCUCUCAGCUUGGUAGGAGACAUGGGAGACCCCUGGGCGUUGUUGAUUCAAACCUUUGUGUAUCUGGGGGUGUUUAAAAAGGGGCAAGACUGGAAUCAUAGGCAGCAUCAUCUGAUUGUGACCAUGUCUUGGUUCUUCCAUUUCUUCUGGUGUGGGAGAAUUUUCUGUAUUCUGUCAAUCAUGUAUUUUAAUAAAACGCUGAUUGGCCAGGCAAGAAGUAUAGGCGGGUCAACCA